UACGUAGGCAGCGAGCGUUGUUCGGAGUUACUGGGCGUAAAGAGAGCGUAGGCGGCCGUGUAUGUCGGACGUGAAAUCCCUCGGCUUAACCGGGGAACUGCGUCCGAUACUGGAGGGCUUGAGUGUGGGAGAGGGAUGCGGAAUUCCAGGUGUAGCGGUGAAAUGCGUAGAUAUCUGGAGGAACACCGGUGGCGAAGGCGGCAUCCUGGACCGGUAUUGACGCUGAGGCGCGAAAGCCAGGGGAGCAAACGGG
rnacentral:rRNA from 1 species